rnacentral:rRNA from 1 species
AGAGUUUGAUCCUGGCUCAGGACGAACGCUGGCGGCGUGCUUAACACAUGCAAGUCGAACGGUAAGGCCCUUCGGGGUACACGAGUGGCGAACGGGUGAGUAACACGUGGGUAAUCUGCCCUGCACAUCGGGAUAAGCCUGGGAAACUGGGUCUAAUACCGAAUAGGACCACAGGACACAUGUCCUGUGGUGGAAAGCUUUUGCGGUGUGGGAUGGGCCCGCGGCCUAUCAGCUUGUUGGUGGGGUGAUGGCCUACCAAGGCGACGACGGGUAGCCGGCCUGAGAGGGUGUCCGGCCACACUGGGACUGAGAUACGGCCCAGACUCCUACGGGAGGCAGCAGUGGGGAAUAUUGCACAAUGGGCGAAAGCCUGAUGCAGCGACGCCGCGUGGGGGAUGACGGCCUUCGGGUUGUAAACCUCUUUCACCAUCGACGAAGGUCCGGGUUUUCUCGGGCUGACGGUAGGUGGAGAAGAAGCACCGGCCAACUACGUGCCAGCAGCCGCGGUAAUACGUAGGGUGCGAGCGUUGUCCGGAAUUACUGGGCGUAAAGAGCUCGUAGGUGGUUUGUCGCGUUGUUCGUGAAAUCUCACGGCUUAACUGUGAGCGUGCGGGCGAUACGGGCAGACUUGAGUACUGCAGGGGAGACUGGAAUUCCUGGUGUAGCGGUGAAAUGCGUA